rnacentral:rRNA from 1 species
AAGGCUUCAGCACGACAAUGUCAGAACUAUAAGUCUCAAAGCCCCGACGAGUAGGGUGGCGUGCCGGUGAGCGUUGAAGGCCAAGACGUGAGUCAGGCUGGAGCCGCCGGUAGUGCAGAUCUUGGUGGUAGUAGCAAGUACUCUGGUGAACCAACCUGGAGCUGUGAGGUCUGGAUUAGGGUUCCAUGUCAACAGUGAUUGAACAUGGGUGAGUCGAUCCUAAGCCAACUGUGAAAGCAGUGACAUCCCGACAAAGGGGCUCGUACGGCACUUACACCCCCGCUCUAUCUCUCUCUCGGUCUCACUCUCUGGAAGGAAAAGCACGCGGUGGUGGUGCGCGCGCGCUCAAGCACACAGUGAUCACAAAGUGUGAGUGUGUUGCUGCUCUCUGUCUGUCUGUCUGGUUACGCUCAAAAGCGUUAUGCACAAGUGAGAGAGAAAAAAGCGGGUGCGCGUGAGUCGUCUCGUAUGUGGUGGCUUCUGCGUCUGGUUCUAUGUCUGGCGAAAGGGAAUGGGGACUUUGUUCCUUGACCGGUCCCGGCACCCUCGAUAGGCUUUGCCAAUCAAUGGUCCAUGCAAAUGGAACCAGGCCACAGCCGCCGGCAGUCGCCCGAGGAAGAAUUUUCUUUUCUGCUUAACGCACGAGAUCAUCCCUGGAAACAGUUCGGCUGGCGAAAGGGUGCCCCGUUGCGGCAGAGCGCCACGACUGUCGUGCGCGUCUCGGUGUUCCUUCCGGUCCGUGAAGACGUGGUCGAGGGGUUUGCUAUUCUUGUACAAACAAAACGCCCGACAAGUUCGGGACGGACCGUACCCUAUAUCCGCAUCUGGUCUCCAAGGUUCGUAGCCUCUGCAGAGUCAGACACAUGUAGGUAAGGGAAGUCGGCAAACUCGAUCCGUAACUUCGGGAAAAGGAUUGGCUCUGAGGGCCGAGCUGGGCCGGGCCUUGCCUGCAAAGCAGUACCUAUAGUGACCGGAGUUUCAGGAGUGCGAGGGGCUCUAGUAGCUGUCCGCGUUCGCGCGGGCACGAACGGGUCUACCGCUCCGCUCCAACCACGAACGGCUGUGACGGCAAGGGCUCUGGGCGGGAGCGUUCAAACCGUUUACCCCCAGCGCGUCUGGGCGGGGCGGUGCUUCGUCUGACCCAUACGGCUCCAGCGGCUAGCGGCUAACUCAGAACUGUCAUGGACCAAGGGAAUCCGACUGUCUAAUUAAAACAAAGCGUCGUGACGGCCCCUGUUGGGUGUUGACGCGACGUGAUUUCUGCCCAGUGCUCUAA